ensembl:lncRNA
AUGUCAAAAAUCCUCAGUCUGGGCAUAGUGGCCGCCACAGACAUCAGUUCUGGAAGGAGGUCAUUGUUCAGAUGGUUGGCAGAGAUGCGCAGUUCCGUGAGGCUGGCCUGCAGUUUGAGCACUCUGAGGAGAGGAGUCAGAGGCAAACUGAGUCCACAGACGUUCACACAGGAGCUGCUGACCUGCACCUCACACAGCCGAGACACACGCCGGUUCUACUCUGAAACACACAUGCCACACAAGCCAGGGGAGGGUGAACUCUCAUCCUGUGCACUCGGCGGACGCGACUGCAUCGGGAGAAGAACAGCAUCUUCAUCGUCGUCAUCCUUGUCCUUGAGGAUGGUCAACAACACUUCGUCAUCGUCAUCUUCCUCUCCCGCUAACGGAUCUUCAAACAGUGGGGGAAGGACAGGUGACACCUUUUCCAUCAUCUCACCCCAGGAGCUGGAGGCCUGUGGACAAUCCAUCGGUUCCUCUCUGGGUUGAGCAGAGAGGCAUGGGUCCAACUUCCCAGCUACUGCAACACGAAGCCUUCACUCUCGGGUUUUGACCGAGAACGUCGCGCAGUGGGGCAAGCCCUCGGGGUUGGACAACGCUGCCUGAGCGUGUUUUUCACCCAAGCAGAAGAUGCAGAGACCGUGUGAAUCUUUCGCAGAAAUCCACAUUCCACACGGAUGAGGAGGAUGGCCCUUUCUUCCGGGGCUCUCCGGCUCUUUUGCAGUGGCCAUGAAGCCUGCACUNGCGCUGGGUUGGGAGAACCGGAGUCCAGCUGACGCCCCAUCUCCUUUAAUAACUCCGCUUGAUAGGCUUAAGGAGGGACGUCGCGUUCAAAGCACGUACGGCCAGUGCAGAAGAUUUAUAAAUCUUUUGAAAAACGGAGGCGGCGAAGCGCUCUGUUUUCCCUGGCAAAGAGGCCCCAAUUGAAGAGAGCGCUGCUCUGUGGCUCGGAUUCAAAUGAUUCGCCACAGAUGAUUCUACAGGGGGAGGAUCUGCCAUCCCCAGAUCCUCCAUUCCCUGGACAUCUAGCCUCGAGAAGCCCUUAACAGGUACUCGGUGGGAAAAAGGCUUAUCCCAAAACCUCUUCAUUUCAGCCACACAAGCCGGGACGGCUGGAAUAAACUGCCUCGCUGGAGGGAGAUGUGACGGAAG